UAUAAUCCCAGCACUUUGCAGGGCCAAGGCGAGUGGAUCACUUGAGCCCUGGGCCCUGUGGAACUUGCCCUCACUAGCAUCCUGACCUUGCUGGCGCUGGGCUCCAUUGCCAUCUUCCUGGAGGAUGCCGUCUACCUGUACAAGAACACCCUUUGCCCCAUCAAGAGGCGGACUCUGCUCUGGAAGAGCUCGGCACCCACGGUGAGGCCCCCGGGGCUGCCCUGUGGGGGGAACUGAAAAGAAGGCAGAGACCAAGGUGAGAAUUCCUCUAAACUCAGCACGUCACUUCGGCAAAGAGUGUCCUGCCACGACCCGCGGAGGGCCGAGGUUUGCAGGCCGACCUCCCCUUGCAGUUAGGAUCCUCUGCUUGGAAGGCUGUGCAGUGUUUGCAUUCUAAGGGCUGCGGAGACAGCUGGAGAUCUGCUCAGCCCACCAGCCGCCUCAUCCUUGCUCCCCGCUACAGUGUUGCCACUUGAAGAGCUUCCUUCAGUGGUUCCUCAGAGUGUGGGGGAAAGUCUCAUUCCACAGGGUCACACUCAGCUCCACCCUUACGCUGAGGCUUUUG
rnacentral:lncRNA from 1 species